rnacentral:rRNA from 1 species
UACGAAGGGGGCUAGCGUUGCUCGGAAUCACUGGGCGUAAAGCGCACGUAGGCGGAUUGUUAAGUCAGGGGUGAAAUCCUGGAGCUCAACUCCAGAACUGCCUUUGAUACUGGCGACCUCGAGUCCGGGAGAGGUGAGUGGAACUGCGAGUGUAGAGGUGAAAUUCGUAGAUAUUCGCAAGAACACCAGUGGCGAAGGCGGCUCACUGGCCCGGUACUGACGCUGAGGCACGAAAGCGUGGGGAGCGAACAGG